GCAAGUUUAGCGAUGAAGAUUGGUGCUUGCACCAAUUUGAAGAGCAGCGAACGGGUGAGUAACGCGUGGGGAAUCUGCCUUUGAGCGGGGGACAACAUUUGGAAACGAAUGCUAAUACCGCAUAACCACUUUUAACAUACGCUUUAAGUUUGAAAGAUGCAAUUGCAUCACUCAAAGAUGAUCCCGCGUUGUAUUAGCUAGUGGGUGAGGUAAAGGCUUACCAAGGCGAUGAUACAUAGCCGACCUGAGAGGGUGAUC
rnacentral:rRNA from 1 species